UGCCAGACUCCUACGGGAGGCAGCAGUGGGGGAUAUUGCACAAUGGGGGGAACCCUGAUGCAGCGACGCCGCGUGGGUGAAGGAGUGCUUCGGCAUGUAAAGCCCUAUCGGCAGGGAAGAAGCAAGACGGUACCUGACUAAGAAGCCCCGGCUAACUACGUGCCAGCAGCCGCGGUAAUACGUAGGGGGCGAGCGUUAUCCGGAUUCACUGGGUGUAAAGGGAGCGUAGACGGCCAUGCAAGCCAGGGGUGAAAGCCCGGGGCCCAACCCCGGGACUGCUCUUGGAACUGCGCGGCUGGAGUGCAGGAGGGGCAGGCGGAAUUCCUAGUGUAGCGGUGAAAUGCGUAGAUAUUAGGAGGAACACCAGUGGCGAAGGCGGCCUGCUGGACUGCAACUGACGUUGAGGCUCGAAGGCGUGGGGAGUAAACAGGAUUAGAUACCCGCGUAA
rnacentral:rRNA from 1 species